rnacentral:lncRNA from 10 species
AGCAAUCCCACCCUAAGCCCAAAAAAUUCUACAUUUCUUAAUUUCUACUAUUCAGAAAGAUGUGGAACCUGCAGAUAUGGAGGGCCAACUGCAUUUAUUUUUUAAAAUCUGCGUAUAAGGAGAUCCAUGAAGUUCAAGCUCGUGUUGUUCAAGGGUCAACUGUAUCUGCAACUCAAGGUUCUGCUAAAGAUCCUAAGGAGCAGACUUCCAAAGGUCACGCCUCCUGUUGAAGACCAGAUAUGACAAGUUGGUUGAUAAUCAAACAGUUUUUCCUCUGCUCUCACUCGACAACAAUCAAUACAGAAGACUUCUGUGACCAGAUGUGUGGGGUUUUCUCUCUACCAAUAAACAAGCAAUCAAUUCUGCAGCCAACACCA